rnacentral:rRNA from 1 species
UGCGUAGGGGGCAAGCGUUGUCCGGAUUCAUUGGGCGUAAAGAGCGUGUAGGCGGCCAGGUAGGUCGGUUGUGAAAACUGGAGGCUCAACCUUCAGAGGUCGACCGAAACCAUCUGGCUAGAGUCCGGGAGAGGAGAGUGGAAUUCCUGGUGUAGCGGUGAAAUGCGCAGAUAUCAGGAAGAACACCCGUGGCGAAAGCGGCUCUCUGGAACGGUACUGACGCUGAGACGCGAAAGCGUGGGGAGCGAACAGG